CUUGCUUUCCAUUUAAUUCUAAUCCAAGAGUAAUAACAUUUUAGAAUAUGUACACACAGACACACACACACACACACAGCCCCCUACCUAGGUCAUAGUAUCAGAGCAUUUAAAAGCUGUAAGGACGUUUGGAGCACAUUUCGUCUAACUCCAGCCUCAAGUUAGCAGACAUAGAACUGGACUCACAAAAGGCCAUGCAAGAUGUUAUUGAAGAGCUGGCAUGAAGAGGGAGCAACUAUACUUCUUCAUUCACACUCAACCUAAAUGAAGAGAUCGUGGAUAAGACUCACUUCAUCUUGAUUUUAAUUCAGGGCCUCACCGAGAAUAUUCUGUGAGCCUGGAAGAAAGAAACUUGUAUUCUGUCUUCCUUUUCUACUUGUGAGCCUCUUUGAUUGAAGCUUCCCUUACUGAUGUCAUCAGAUCAGCUCCAGUUAAACAUUUGACAGGUCCAUCUGUGUCCACAGUCACCCACAAACAUGGGAAGCUGCCACCCAUCUGCCUCCCUAUGCUCUCGCUUUGUUCGUGCCCUGGUUAUUUUGUUCUCAUGUAGCCACUGGGGGUAUUAAUGCCCUCCUCCCUCCAAAAAUGUCAAGAAAUGUGGAUUCUAUGCUAGUUUGUGCUCCUGAGAGAAGGAUGUUAUAGAAGUGGCAUAUGUCAUUAUACUGUUAUUCACACGUAUUCCACAAAUUCUCUAGCAACAUCCUCACAUCUCAAUGAACAUGUUGCUUAGCUUCCUGACCUGGCUUCACUAUUAAUCAUUUUAAUAAUUAAGUAUGACUCACCAAUUAUUCUUCACUUUUCCCAAAUGGAUUGGUUUCUCUUAGUGACAGAAAGUGUUAUAAAUUUGGAGACACUUUUUAGAUUCAAUUGCUUUCUGUUCCGUUGCCUGCCCU
rnacentral:lncRNA from 1 species